GAGAAACUCGCCCGCAAGGGUGACUCUCCAACCCUAUGUUAAUUAUACCUUUGUUGCUUUGGCGAGCCGCUUCGGCCACCGGCUUCACGCUGGUGAGCGCUCGCCAGAGGACCCUAAACUCUGUUUAUUAGUGUCGUCUGAGUACUAUAUAAUAGUUAAAACUUUCAACAACGGAUCUCUUGGUUCU
rnacentral:misc_RNA from 1 species